AGCGAACGCUGGCGGCAGGCUUAACACAUGCAAGUCGAACGGGCGUAGCAAUACGUCAGUGGCAGACGGGUGAGUAACGCGUGGGAACGUACCUUUUGGUUCGGAACAACACAGGGAAACUUGUGCUAAUACCGGAUAAGCCCUUACGGGGGAAAGAUUUUAUCGCCGAAAGAUCGGCCCGCGUCUGAUUAGCUAGUUGGUGAGGUAACGGCUCACCAAGGCGACGAUCAGUAGCUGGUCUGAGAGGAUGAUCAGCCACAUUGGGACUGAGACACGGCCCAAACUCCUACGGGAGGCAGCAGUGGGGAAUAUUGGACAAUGGGCGCAAGCCUGAUCCAGCCAUGCCGCGUGAGUGAUGAAGGCCCUAGGGUUGUAAAGUCUUUCGGCCGGGAAGAAAUCGUAUGGGUUAAUACCCUGUGCGGAUGACGGUACCGGCAUAAGAAGCACCGGCUAACUACGUGCCAGCAGCCGCGGUAAAGUGUGUGUA
rnacentral:rRNA from 1 species